rnacentral:rRNA from 1 species
AACGAACGCUGGCGGCAUGCCUAACACAUGCAAGUCGAACGAUCCCUUCGGGGUGAGUGGCGCACGGGUGCGUAACACGUGGGAACCUGCCCUUAGGUUCGGAAUAACACAGAGAAAUUUGUGCUAAUACCGGAUAAUGUCUUCGGACCAAAGAUUUAUCGCCUUUGGAUGGGCCCGCGUAGGAUUAGCUAGUUGGUGAGGUAAAGGCUCACCAAGGCGACGAUCCUUAGCUGGUCUUAGAGGAUGAUCAGCCACACUGGGACUGAGACACGGCCCAGACUGCUACGGGAGGCAGCAGUGGGGAAUAUUGGACAAUGGGCGAAAGCCUGAUCCAGCAAUGCCGCGUGAGUGAUGAAGGCCUUAGGGUUGUAAAGCUCUUUUACCUGGGAUGAUAGUGACAGUACCAGGAGAAUAAGCCCCGGCUAACUCCGUGCCAGCAGCCGCAGUAAUAC